CGCGGCCGCCGACGCCCAGGACCGUCCUCUUCGGGCUGCUCCGCGCUUGGCGAGCUCCAGGCCGGGAGUGAAACGCCCGCAUGGCGCAGACGGGUGAAGCCGGAGCGAGUGCUCCACAGCCGGCACCGGGACUUUCACAGGCCCUUGCUCACCUGCUGCUCCGCAUGUUCAUGCUCGGAUACGGGGGCGAACGCUGCAGCCCGAGGGGGCGAUGAAGGGGCUCAGGGACGAGGCACGAGCUGUGAAUAAGCGCGUUGAGGUGAUGGCUGGGCGGGCCCUGCGAUCGGGGGAGCCUCGGGGGGCCCGGACCUGUCCCGGCUCCGCACACACGGGCUCCCGCGCCGGCGCACCCAGCCCGGUGAGCCCCGGUUGGGAAGGACGGGCCGUGCAGCGCCGGCUGCAGUCGUGCUUGUGAAUCAGUUACCUUCUCGUUCCCCAAGUUCACAGAAUUCCCACCAAACACCUCUGCUGAAGGACUAGGCUUUUACUCCUCUUGGCAUCAGCAAGCACUGAGUAGGCUCGCCACCCCGAGUGGAGGCAUGGCUGGCACCACGGGAAGCCACGGGUGGCGAAGUAGGGAGGAGUAACAGCCAUCCCACAGGAAAGCCAUCCUUGGUUGGACCCAGUGAACUGGAAGCAGCAUCAAAAGUACAUCAAUCCCUCAGAUGACACACUCCACCCAUCAGUGCAGCCACAGGAGAGAGUGAAUUCAAUCCAAAUGGUUAUUUAUUCUAAAACUGGAAGCUACUGUGCCUACAUAUUCGCCAGAAUGUUGUAAUGAGAACAGGGGAGGAAAAAGUUACAGAUGUAAACAAUGACACAGUUACAUUUUUAAAAAAUGGUAAAACCCUUUUUUACUGGCCACUUCCAAGAAUGCUUUACAGGUUGUGCAAAAACAUUUACAGGCUCCAUGUGAUGUUUGUUUUUCUCACAAGCUUUUCCAUCUACAACUACAACAGAGGUCUGAUAAAACACUAAACAAA